GCGAGUUGGUGAGUGGCUUUCGAGCCUUGCAACAGAAGGCUUGAGGAAACUCCGCCCACACGUAGAAUUGCAAUAUCCGCAAGGGUGUAAGGCGAGAGCCUUGGCUUCGGAGCAGAAACGAAACGUCCACCCGCAAGUGCCAAUGAUGCAUGCUAAGUUGUUGAGAAUGCGGGUUGGAAGCGGUGAAACGGCCGUCCUGCAAGUGGAAAGGGCAAACAGACGCUGAUGCGGAAUCUACCCAAGGCGCGGGUAGCCCGAUUAGUCGAAUGCCACAUAACAGAAGGCGGGUUACAGCCAACACGC
rnacentral:RNase_P_RNA from 1 species